rnacentral:rRNA from 1 species
UACAGAGGUCUCAAGCGUUGUUCGGAUUCACUGGGCGUAAAGGGUGCGUAGGCGGUUGGGUAAGUCUGACGUGGAAUCUCCGGGCCUAACCCGGAAACUGCGUUGGAUACUAUCCGGCUAGAGGAAUGGAGGGGAGACUGGAAUACUUGGUGUAGCAGUGAAAUGCGUAGAUAUCAAGUGGAACACCAGUGGCGAAGGCGAGUCUCUGGACAUUUCCUGACGCUGAGGCACGAAAGCCAGGGGAGCAAACGGG